rnacentral:rRNA from 1 species
AGAACGAACGCUGGCGGCAGGCCUAACACAUGCAAGUCGAACGCCCUAGCAAUAGGGAGUGGCAGACGGGUGAGUAACGCGUGGGAACAUGCCUUUCGGUUCGGAACAACUCGGGGAAACUUGAGCUAAUACCGGAUACGCCCUUUUGGGGAAAGAUUUAUCGCCGGAAGAUUGGCCCGCGUCUGAUUAGCUAGUUGGCGGGGUAACGGCCCACCAAGGCGACGAUCAGUAGCUGGUCUGAGAGGAUGAUCAGCCACAUUGGGACUGAGACACGGCCCAAACUCCUACGGGAGGCAGCAGUGGGGAAUAUUGGACAAUGGGCGCAAGCCUGAUCCAGCCACGCCGCGUGAGUGAUGAAGGCCUUGGGUUGUAAGCUCUGUGGGAGGGACGAAACGGCGGAUAAGAAACGAUCCGUCCUUGACGGUACCUCCUUAGCAAGCACCGGCUAACUCUGUGCCAGCAGCCGC